GUAGUACUCCCUCCGUCUGAAAAUACUUGUCAUCAAAAUGGACAAAAGGGGAUGUAUCUAGAACUAAAAUACAUCUAGAUACAUCUACUUUUAUUCAUUUUGAUGACAAGUAUUUCCGGACAGAGGGAGUACUUU
rfam:Triticum aestivum genome assembly, contig: Triticum_aestivum_CS42_TGACv1_scaffold_035077_1BL